GUGCUCAGUUUUUCAGCACAGAUGCUGGAAUUUUAACUAUACAGAGAUCAGAGUGGUUCCUGGUCAAGGAUGCUCCACAAAUUUGUGACGCAUUCCAUAAUUUA
ensembl:snRNA LOC120094869 U6 spliceosomal RNA